rnacentral:rRNA from 1 species
GAUGAGCGCUGGCGGCGUGCCUAAUACAUGCAAGUCGAGCGAAUGGAUUAAGAGCUUGCUCUUAUGAAGUUAGCGGCGGACGGGUGAGUAACACGUGAGUAACUUGCCCAUAAGACUGGGAUAACUCCGGGAAACCGGGGCUAAUACCGGAUAACAUUUUGAACCGCAUGGUUCGAAAUUGACAGGCGGCUUCGGCUGUCACUUAUGGAUGGACCCGCGUCGCAUUAGCUAGGUGGUGAGGUAACGGCUCACCAAGGCAACGAUGCGUAGCCGACCUGAGAGGGUGAUCGGCCACACUGGGACUGAGACACGGCCCAGACUCCUACGGGAGGCAGCAGUAGGGAAUCUUCCGCAAUGGACGAAAGUCUGACGGAGCAACGCCGCGUGAGUGAUGAAGGCUUUCGGGUCGUAAAACUCUGUUGUUAGGGAAGAACAAGUGCUAGUUGAAUAAGCUGGCACCUUGACGGUACCUAACCAGAAAGCCACGGCUAACUACGUGCCAGCCGCCGCAGUAA